UGCACGGUGGCGCAGUUGGUAGCACUAUCUUGCAGCAAGAAGGUCCAGGGUUCGAUUCCCGGCUGGGGGUCUGUCUGCAU